AUCGCUUCUCGGCCUUUUGGCUAAGAUCAAGUGUAGUACAUGUUUGCAAUAUAUAGUGAUCGUAUUCAUGGUGGGGGGUGCUACAUGUAUACAGCAUAUCUUAAUUCUUUGUACUUUAUCCUCU
ensembl:snRNA U2 U2 spliceosomal RNA